rnacentral:rRNA from 1 species
GUUGUAUGGUUAAGUGACUAAGCGUACACGGUGGAUGCCUUGGCAGUCAGAGGCGAUGAAAGACGUAGUAACUUGCGAUAAGCCCAGAUUAGGUAGUAACAACCAUUUGAGUCUGGGAUUUCUGAAUGGGGAAACCCACGUGCAUAAGCACGUAUCCUUACCUGAAUACAUAGGGUAAGGAGGCGAACCGGGGGAACUGAAACAUCUAAGUACCCCGAGGAAAAGAAAUCAACCGAGAUUCCGAAAGUAGCGGCGAGCGAAAUUGGACUAGCCCUUAAGCUUUACACGCGUUAGACGAACGGUCUGGAAAGUCCGGCGAUACAGGGUGAUAGCCCCGUAGUUGACGACGUGUGUUCAGUGAAAUCGAGUAGGGCGGGACACGUGAUAUCCUGUCUGAAUAUGGGGGGACCAUCCUCCAAGGCUAAAUACUACUGACUGACCGAUAGUGAACCAGUACCGUGAGGGAAAGGCGAAAAGAACCCCUGUGAGGGGAGUGAAAUAGAACCUGAAACCGUGUACGUACAAGCAGUAGGAGCAGGCUUUGUCCUGUGACUGCGUACCUUUUGUAUAAUGGGUCAGCGACUUAUAUUCAGUGGCAAGGUUAACCAUCUAGGGGAGCCGUAGGGAAACCGAGUCUUAACUGGGCGUUCAGUCUCUGGAUAUAGACCCGAAACCAGGUGAUCUAGCCAUGGGCAGGUUGAAGGUUGAGUAACAUCAACUGGAGGACCGAACCGACUAAUGUUGAAAAAUUAGCGGAUGACUUGUGGCUAGGGGUGAAAGGCCAAUCAAACCUGGAGAUAGCUGGUUCUCCCCGAAAGCUAUUUAGGUAGCGCCUCGGACGAAUACUACUGGGGGUAGAGCACUGUUAAGGCUAGGGGGUCAUCCCGACUUACCAACCCUUUGCAAACUCCGAAUACCAGUAAGUACUAUCCGGGAGACACACGGCGGGUGCUAACGUCCGUCGUGGAGAGGGAAACAACCCAGACCGCCAGCUAAGGUCCCAAAUUACUACUAAGUGGGAAACGAUGUGGGAAGGCUCAGACAGCCAGGAUGUUGGCUUAGAAGCAGCCAUCAUUUAAAGAAAGCGUAAUAGCUCACUGGUCGAGUCGGCCUGCGCGGAAGAUGUAACGGGGCUAAGUAGUAAACCGAAGCUGCGGCAAUGUGCUUUUGCACAUUGGGUAGGGGAGCGUUCUGUAAGCGGUUGAAGGUGUGUGGUAACGCAUGCUGGACGUAUCAGAAGUGCGAAUGCUGACAUGAGUAACGAUAAAGGGGGUGAAAAACCUCCUCGCCGGAAGACCAAGGGUUCCUGUCCAACGUUAAUCGGGGCAGGGUAAGUCGACCCCUAAGGCGAGGCCGAAAGGCGUAGUCGAUGGGAAACGGGUUAAUAUUCCCGUACUUCUUACAAUUGCGAUGGGGGGACGGAGAAGGCUAGGUGGGCCUGGCGACGGUUGUCCAGGUUCAAGUGCGUAGGCUUGAGAGUUAGGUAAAUCCGGCUCUUUUUAAGGCUGAGACACGACGUCGAGCACCUACGGGUGUGAAGUCAUUGAUGCCAUGCUUCCAGGAAAAGCCUCUAAGCUUCAGAUUGUAAGGAAUCGUACCCCAAACCGACACAGGUGGUCGGGUAGAGAAUACCAAGGCGCUUGAGAGAACUCGGGUGAAGGAACUAGGCAAAAUGGUACCGUAACUUCGGGAGAAGGUACGCUCUCGACGGUGAAGUCCCUCGCGGAUGGAGCUAUUGAGAGUCGCAGAUACCAGGUGGCUGCAACUGUUUAUUAAAAACACAGCACUGUGCAAAAUCGUAAGAUGACGUAUACGGUGUGACGCCUGCCCGGUGCCGGAAGGUUAAUUGAUGGGGUUAGACUUCGGUCGAAGCUCUUGAUCGAAGCCCCGGUAAACGGCGGCCGUAACUAUAACGGUCCUAAGGUAGCGAAAUUCCUUGUCGGGUAAGUUCCGACCUGCACGAAUGGCGUAAUGAUGGCCACGCUGUCUCCACCCGAGACUCAGUGAAAUUGAAAUCGCUGUGAAGAUGCAGUGUACCCGCGGCUAGACGGAAAGACCCCGUGAACCUUUACUACAGCUUGGCACUGAACAUUGACCCUACAUGUGUAGGAUAGGUGGGAGGCUUUGAAGCACGUACGCCAGUAUGUGUGGAGCCGUCCUUGAAAUACCACCCUUGUAGUGUUGAUGUUCUAACGUCGACCCCUUAUCGGGGUUGCGGACAGUGCCUGGUGGGUAGUUUGACUGGGGCGGUCUCCUCCCAAAGAGUAACGGAGGAGCACGAAGGUGGGCUAAUCACGGUUGGACAUCGUGAGGUUAGUGCAAUGGCAUAAGCCCGCUUGACUGCGAGAAUGACAAUUCGAGCAGGUGCGAAAGCAGGUCAUAGUGAUCCGGUGGUUCUGAAUGGAAGGGCCAUCGCUCAACGGAUAAAAGGUACUCCGGGGAUAACAGGCUGAUACCGCCCAAGAGUUCAUAUCGACGGCGGUGUUUGGCACCUCGAUGUCGGCUCAUCACAUCCUGGGGCUGAAGUCGGUCCCAAGGGUAUGGCUGUUCGCCAUUUAAAGUGGUACGCGAGCUGGGUUUAGAACGUCGUGAGACAGUUCGGUCCCUAUCUGCCGUGGGCGUUGGAAGAUUGAAGGGGGCUGCUCCUAGUACGAGAGGACCGGAGUGGACGAACCUCUGGUGUUCGGGUUGUGUCGCCAGACGCAUUGCCCGGUAGCUAAGUUCGGAAUCGAUAACCGCUGAAAGCAUCUAAGCGGGAAGCGAGCCCUGAGAUGAGUCUUCCCUGAUACUUUAAGUAUCCUAAAGGGUUGUCGGAGACUACGACGUUGAUAGGUCAGGUGUGUAAGUGCUGUGAGGCAUUGAGCUAACUGAUACUAAUUGCCCGUGAGGCUUAACCAUACAACACCCAAGGGGUUU